rnacentral:piRNA from 1 species
UGGCCUUGCUGGUGGGAGAUGCCACAGU